AGAGACAGCAGCAGCCGCGGUAAUCCGUAGGUGGCGAGCGUUGUCCGGAAUUAUUGGGCGUAAAGCGCGCGCAGGCGGAUAGGUCAGUCUGUCUUAAAAGUUCGGGGCUUAACCCCGUGAUGAGAUGGAAACUGCCAAUCUAGAGUAUCGGAGAGGGAAGUGGAAUUCCUAGUGUAGCGGUGAAAUGCGUAGAUAUUAGGAAGAACACCAGUGGCGAAGGCGACUUUCUGGACGAAAACUGACGCUGAGGCGCGAAAGCCAGGGGAGCAAAUGGGAUUAGAUACCCCCGUAGUCCCUGUCUCUUAUACA
rnacentral:rRNA from 1 species